UACGUAGGGGGCAAGCGUUAUCCGGAUUUACUGGGUGUAAAGGGAGCGCAGGUGGCAAGGCAAGCCAGAAGUGAAAACCCGGGGCUUAACCCCGCGGAUUGCUUUUGGAACUGUCUGGCUGGAGUGCAGGAGGGGCAGGCGGAAUUCCUGGUGUAGCGGUGAAAUGCGUAGAUAUCAGGAGGAACACCGGUGGCGAAGGCGGCCUGCUGGACUGUAACUGACACUGAGGCUCGAAAGCGUGGGGAGCAAACAGG
rnacentral:rRNA from 1 species